rnacentral:rRNA from 1 species
AGUGAACGCUGGCGGCAGGCCUAACACAUGCAAGUCGAACGGCAGCACAGCAGUAGCAAUACUGUGGGUGGCGAGUGGCGGACGGGUGAGGAAUACAUCGGAAUCUGCCCAGUCGUGGGGGACAACCAGCCGAAAGGUUGGCUAAUACCGCAUGCGACCGGAAGGUGAAAGCGGGGGACCCCUUAAAAGGCCUCGCGCGAUUGGAUGAGCCGAUGUCGGAUUAGCUAGUUGGUAGGGUAAAGGCCUACCAAGGCGACGAUCCGUAGCUGGUCUGAGAGGAUGAUCAGCCACACUGGAACUGAGACACGGUCCAGACUCCUACGGGAGGCAGCAGUGGGGAAUAUUGGACAAUGGGCGCAAGCCUGAUCCAGCAAUGCCGCGUGUGUGAAGAAGGCCUUCGGGUUGUAAAGCCCUUUUGUCCGGAACGAAAAGCGCCAGGUUAAUAACCUGUCGUGCUGACGGUACCGGUUGAAUAAGCACCGGCUAACUUCGUGCCAGCGGCCGCGGUAAUACGAAGGGUGCAAGCGUUAAUCGGAAUUACUGGGCGUAAAGGGUGCGUAGACGGUUUGUUAAGUCGGAUGCGAAAGCCCCGGGCUCAACCUGGGAACUGCAUCUGAUACUGGCAGGCUAGAGUGUGAUAGAGGAUGGUGGAAUUCCCGGUGUAGCGGUGAAAUGCGUAGAGAUCGGGAGGAACAUCUGUGGCGAAGGCGGCCAUCUGGAUCAACACUGACGUUGAGGCACAGGCACGA